GCCUGGCCGGCUCAGUCGGUAAAGCAUGUGACUGUUGAUCUUGGAGUCGUGAGUUCAAGUCCCACAUUGGGCA
rnacentral:tRNA from 1 species